GGAGAGGUGGCAGAGCGGUUGAAUGCACCGGUCUUGAAAACCGGCGUGCCCUCACGGGCACCGUGAGUUCGAAUCUCACCCUCUCCGCCA
rnacentral:tRNA from 1 species